rnacentral:lncRNA from 1 species
UCGGAUUCAGUCCAUGGAUCUUAGUGUAUACAUCUCAAUUAAUCAGUUCUUUGGCUUGUCUCCCCACGUGCCACGCUACCACCACGCGUGAAAUGCGCCCGUCCCGGUGCGGGCGACUUGGUGUUUUCGCUGGCGGCCCCCGGCCCCGAGAACCCCGCGGAGCCCACCGUCAGCCGCGCGAGCUUGCCCGCCUCUGCGCCGCCCCGCGGUGGAGGCGGCCGCCGGGGCCCGCCGGGCUCUGCCCUCAGCCAAUGAGUGACAAGGAGUUGGGAGGGAGCAGCCCUUGGGGCUCCAGGUGGGUGGUUCAAGCUCCAGAGCUCCCCAGGAAUCGGAGCGAAGAAGGAGUGCACCAGAAGGCUGGAUGGGACCAGACUGGGAGAGUCUUGAUUGCCAUGAAUCAUAUUGUAGGUGGCUACAAGGUCACUCAUUCCAUUCUUUCCCCAAACGUGAGCACAACAUGGAGAGAGUGAUUGUCUGCUUGGGGCAAGAAGAGAUAGGACACCUAAGCACCCAGAUGAUUUCGUGAGGUUUGUCUUGAAGCUUUGGAAAGCAUACAAGAUGAUGAUCCCCAGGUUAAGGCCAGCUGUCUUGCUGAAGCCACAGUGAAGUUGUGGUGGAAUUGCACCAGGAAGAAUGGAGUAUAACUCAUACAGAGUGAAUUAAGCCAGUCCCAGAGGGACAAAUAUAAUAUGUUCUCCCUGAUCGGUGACAACUAACCAACCACAAAAAAGGAAACCUGUUGAAGUGAAAGGGACACUAUGAGAAACAGUGACUUGAUCAGCUCUUGUCCUGACUGUUGAUGUACAAUUUAACACUUUAUCCCUUUUAGUAUUUUUUUUGUUCUAGUUAAUACUAUUGGUUGAACUCUGUAAUUAACACACAUUUAUUCUUAGGUGUUGAAAUUUAACUGAAAAGUGAUCCCUGUUAAAUAUAAGAGUGGGAAUAAGAGAGGGAGGAGAUGUACAAUGUGGGACAUGCUCAGUCGUACUUGCCCCAAGUGGUGGAGUUAGAAAUGUGCCAGGGGAUUCCAAUUCAAUCCCUUCAAGGUGGCAGGUACCAAUGCCAUCUCACUAGUCCAAGUGAUCAAUUUCAGUUCAUAAUUGAUCACAUUGAUAGGUCUAAGAGUCAAAGGGAUCACACAAACAAGACUAGUGUCUGCUAAUACUAACUGAUAGAAUCAAAAAGGGAGAGAACUAUCCAACAUGGGAAGUGGGAUACACAGCAGACUCAUAGAACGGCAGAUGUCCUCUGGCCUCAGAAUCAGCCCUUAAGGCAUUCGGAACUGGCUGAAGAGCCCAUGAGAGUAUUUUAAAAAUGGAAAGCCAAGACACUCUGGCAAAAAACAAACAAACAAACAAACAAACAAAAAAAACCAAACACCUAAAUGAAAGAUCUCUGCGAGUGAGAUCCCAGUGGAAAGAACGGGCCAUCAAAGAAGGAGGUACCUUUCUCUGAAGGGAGGAGAGAACUUCCACUUUGACUAUGACCUUGUCUAAAUAAGUUCAAAGUCAACAAACUCAAGAGGCUUCCAUAGACUUGGCAACUCAUGACAAGAGCCUAGGGAGAUUUCUGACGCCAUAAACAAGAGUGUCAAAUUGUUAAGUCAACAACAGGAGUCACUGUGUACUUACUCCUCAUGUAGGAUCUCUGUCCUUAAUGUGUUGUUCAAUGUGAAUUAAUGCUAUAACUAGUACUGAAACAGUAUUUUACACUUUAUGUUCUGUGUGGGAGCAAACUGUUGAAAUCUUUACUUAAUAUAUACUAAAUCAAUCUUCUGUAUAUAAAGAGAAUUGAAAAUGAAUCUUGAUGUGAAUGGAAUGGGAGAAGGAGCGGGAGAUGGGAGGGGUGCGGGUGGGAGGGAAGUUAUGGGGGAGAAAAGCCAUUGUAAUCCAUAAACUGUACUUUGGAAAAUUAUAUUUACUAAAUAAAAGUUUUUAAAAAAUAACUCA